GAUGAACGCUGGCGGCGUGCCUAAUACAUGCAAGUCGAGCGAACAGACGAGGAGCUUGCUCCUCUGACGUUAGCGGCGGACGGGUGAGUAACACGUGGAUAACCUACCUAUAAGACUGGGAUAACUUCGGGAAACCGGAGCUAAUACCGGAUAAUAUAUUGAACCGCAUGGUUCAAUAGUGAAAGACGGUUUUGCUGUCACUUAUAGAUAGAUCCGCGCCGCAUUAGCUAGUUGGUAAGGUAACGGCUUACCAAGGCAACGAUGCGUAGCCGACCUGAGAGGGUGAUCGGCCACACGGGAACUGAGACACGGUCCAGACUCCUACGGGAGGCAGCAGUAGGGAAUCUUCCGCAAUGGGCGAAAGCUUGACGGAGCAACGCCGCGUGAGUGAUGAAGGUCUUCGGAUCGUAGAACUCUGUUAUUAGGGAAGAACAAAUGUGUAAGUAACUAUGCACGUCUUGACGGUACCUAAUCAGAAAGCCACGGCUAACUACGUG
rnacentral:rRNA from 1 species